GAUGAACGCUGGCGGCGUGCUUAACACAUGCAAGUCGAACGAUGAAGCCCAGCUUGCUGGGUGGAUUAGUGGCGAACGGGUGAGUAACACGUGAGUAACCUGCCCUUAACUCUGGGAUAAGCCUGGGAAACUGGGUCUAAUACCGGAUAGGAGCGUCCACCGCAUGGUGGGUGUUGGAAAGAUUUAUCGGUUUUGGAUGGACUCGCGGCCUAUCAGCUUGUUGGUGAGGUAAUGGCUCACCAAGACGACGACGGGUAGCCGGCCUGAGAGGGUGACCGGCCACACUGGGACUGAGACACGGCCCAGACUCCUACGGGAGGCAGCAGUGGGGAAUAUUGCACAAUGGGCGCAAGCCUGAUGCAGCGACGCCGCGUGAGGGAUGACGGCCUUCGGGUUGUAAACCUCUUUCAGUAGGGAAGAAGCGAAAGUGACGGUACCUGCAGAAGAAGCACCGGCUAACUACGUG
rnacentral:rRNA from 1 species